GAUGAACGCUGGCGGCGUGCCUAAUACAUGCAAGUCGAGCGAACGGACGAGAAGCUUGCUUCUCUGAUGUUAGCGGCGGACGGGUGAGUAACACGUGGAUAACCUACCUAUAAGACUGGGAUAACUUCGGGAAACCGGAGCUAAUACCGGAUGAUAUUUUGAACCGCAUGGUUCAAAAGUGAAAGACGGUCUUGCUGUCACUUAUAGAUGGAUCCGCGCUGCAUUAGCUAGUUGGUAAGGUAACGGCUUACCAAGGCAACGAUGCAUAGCCGACCUGAGAGGGUGAUCGGCCACACUGGAACUGAGACACGGUCCAGACUCCUACGGGAGGCGGCAGUAGGGAAUCUUCCGCAAUGGGCGAAAGCCUGACGGAGCAACGCCGCGGGAGUGAUGAAGGUCUUCGGAUCGUAAAACUCUGUUAUUAGGGAAGAACAUAUGUGUAAGUAACUGUGCACAUCUUGACGGUACCUAAUCAGAAAGCCACGGCUAACUACGUG
rnacentral:rRNA from 1 species